CAUUCUUCUCAUUCUUAUCCAUUCACGCGGCGUGUGCUCACCUCCCAUCUUCCACCUCCUCCCGCUCCCUACCUCGCACCAGACCUCACUGGAGACGGCAAUCGUCUACCCCGCAGCAAAAUCUCCCUCGCACUCCGCUGCGGGGAGGUAGUUGCGCUCACCCCUGUGGUCACCUGUUGUCCGCCCACCACCUCCCGAUGUCCUCCCAUUCCUCACCUCGCACCACACCUCGCCGGAGACUACCGCCAACACAUCUUCGGUCCACAACGCGCUCGACCCAAGCCCCCCUCCUCCCGUUGCUGCGACCGUGCCCGAUGGGUGCUUCAACCGACGCCACUGGAGCGCCACGACUGUUGUCGGGUGAUGGUGUCCUGAAUUAGGCGGUGCUAACCUAGUCGGCCCAUGCUCCUCGGGUUGGGCCGAUGGGUCCUCAUUCGUGAUCAAGAUGGACUCCGGAGGCCGUAUGCAGGAGGCAUGAUCAAGACUACCUCCACCGAAGAGUUGACGUAUACUCCAAGAUUUCUCAUGUCGCCUUGCUACUCGAUACCGACCUUGUGACCCUGGAUACCCUGCCUGGCGUGUAUAUAAGCCGUAGGGUUUAGCCCAUAGAGGGGACAUCAACGCAAUAUCAUUCACCUAGCUCUAAAGUUAGACCACAUCUUACGAUCUCGAGGUAGAUCAACUCUGUACUUGAUACAUCUCCAUUAAUCCAAACAAGAGCAGGACAUAGGGUUUUACCUCCAUCAAGAGGGCCCGAACCUGGGUAAAACACC
rnacentral:rRNA from 1 species